rnacentral:rRNA from 1 species
AUUGAACGCUGGCGGCAGGCUUAACACAUGCAAGUCGAGCGGAAACGAUGUAGCUUGCUACAGGCGUCGAGCGGCGGACGGGUGAGUAACGCGUAGGAAUCUGCCUAGUAGUGGGGGACAACAUGUGGAAACGCAUGCUAAUACCGCAUACGCCCUACGGGGGAAAGGAGGGGAUCUUCGGACCUUUCGCUAUUAGAUGAGCCUGCGUAAGAUUAGCUAGUUGGUAGGGUAAAGGCCUACCAAGGCGACGAUCUUUAACUGGUCUGAGAGGAUGGCCAGUCACACUGGGACUGAGACACGGCCCAGACUCCUACGGGAGGCAGCAGUGGGGAAUAUUGGACAAUGGGCGCAAGCCUGAUCCAGCCAUGCCGCGUGUGUGAAGAAGGCCUUAGGGUUGUAAAGCACUUUCAGGGGUGAGGAAGGGUGUUUGGUUAAUAUCCAAACAUUUUGACGUUAGCCCCAGAAGAAGCACCGGCUAACUCUGUGCCAGCAGCCGCGGUAAUACAGAGGGUGCAAGCGUUAAUCGGAAUUACUGGGCGUAAAGCGCGCGUAGGUGGUUUGUUAAGUCGGAUGUGAAAUCCCAGGGCUCAACCUUGGAAUGGCACCCGAUACUGGCAGGCUAGAGUAUGGUAGAGGGGUGUGGAAUUUCCUGUGUAGCGGUGAAAUGCGUAGAUAUAGGAAGGAACAUCAGUGGCGAAGGCGACACCCUGGACUAAUACUGACACUGAGGUGCGAAAGCGUGGGGAGCAAACAGG